CAGAUAUUAGUUUAAAAAAAAUAUUAAUUUUGGAGAUUAAUGAUGGGAAUUUUCUAUAUCUGA
rnacentral:tRNA from 1 species